rnacentral:tRNA from 1 species
GCGGUAUUGGUGUAACGGUAGCAUAAGAGUUUUCCAAACUUUUGGUUAGGGUUCAAAUCCCUAAUGCCGCUCCA